rnacentral:rRNA from 1 species
UCUAAUACCGAAUAGGACCACAGGACACAUGAUCCUGCUGGCUGGAAAGCUUUUGCGGUGUGGGAUGGGCCCGCGGCCUAUCAGCUUGUUGGUGGGGUGAUGGCCUACCAAGGCGACGACGGGUAGCCGGCCUGAGAGGGUGUCCGGCCACACUGGGACUGAGAUACGGCCCAGACUCCUACGGGAGGCAGCAGUGGGGAAUAUUGCACAAUGGGCGAAAGCCUGAUGCAGCGACGCCGCGUGGGGGAUGACGGCCUUCGGGUUGUAAACCUCUUUCACCAUCGACGAAGGUCCGGGUUUUCUCGGGCUGACGGUAGGUGGAGAAGAAGCACCGGCCAACUACGUGCCAGCAGCCGCGGUAAUACGUAGGGUGCGAGCGUUGUCCGGAAUUACUGGGCGUAAAGAGCUCGUAGGUGGUUUGUCGCGUUGUUCGUGAAAUCUCACGGCUUAACUGUGAGCGUGCGGGCGAUACGGGCAGACUUGAGUACUGCAGGGGAGACUGGAAUUCCUGGUGUAGCGGUGGAAUGCGCAGAUAUCAGGAGGAACACCGGUGGCGAAGGCGGGUCUCUGGGCAGUAACUGACGCUGAGGAGCGAAAGCGUGGGGAGCGAACAGGAUUAGAUACCCUGGUAGUCCACGCCGUAAACGGUGGGUACUAGGUGUGGGUUUCCUUCCUUGGGAUCCGUGCCGUAGCUAACGCAUUAAGUACCCCGCCUGGGGAGUACGGCCGCAAGGCUAAAACUCAAAGAAAUUGACGGGGGCCCGCACAAGCGGCGGAGCAUGUGGAUUAAUUCGAUGCAACGCGAAGAAC